UACGUAGGAGGCAAGCGUUGUCCGGAAUUACUGGGCGUAAAGCGCGUGUAGGCGGCAGGCCAAGUCUGUGGUGAAAUCGCUCGGCUCAACUGGGCGGGGUCCAUGGAAACUGGUCAGCUGGAGGACGGUAGAGGUGAGUGGAAUUCCCGGUGUAGUGGUGGAAUGCGUAGAGAUCGGGAGGAACACCCGUGGCGAAGGCGGCUCACUGGGCCGGUCCUGACGCUGAGACGCGAAGGCGUGGGGAGCGAACGGG
rnacentral:rRNA from 1 species